rnacentral:rRNA from 1 species
CCCGGGGAUCCGAUCGCUAGUAAUCGCGGAUCAGAGGAAGGUGAAUACGUUCCCGGGCCUUGUACACACCGCCCCUACGGGAGGCAGCAGUAAGGAAUAUUGGACAAUGGGCGAGAGCCUGAUCCAGCCAUGCCGCGUGCAGGAUGACGGUCCUAUGGAUUGUAAACUGCUUUUGUAUGGGAAUAAACCCAGGUACGUGUACCUGGCUGAAUGUACCAUAAGAAUAAGGAUCGGCUAACUCCGUGCCAGCAGCCGCGGUAAUACGGAGGAUCCAAGCGUUAUCCGGAUUUAUUGGGUUUAAAGGGUGCGUAGGCGGGACAGUAAGUCAGUGGUGAAAUCCUAUCGCUAACGAUAGAAUUGCCAUUGAUACUGCUGACCUUGAGUACAAAUGAUGUGGGCGGAAUGUGCAGUGUAGCGGUGAAAUGCUUAGAUAUUGCACAGAACACCGAUAGCGAAGGCAGCUCACAAAAAUGUAACUGACGCUGAGGCACGAAAGUAUGGGGAUCAAACAGGAUUAGAUACCCUGGUAGUCCAUACAGUAAACGUUGAUAACUCGAUGUGUGCGAUAUACAGUACGCGUCCAAGGGAAACCGAUAAGUUAUCCACCUGGGGAGUACGACCGCAAGGUUGAAACUCAAAGGAAUUGACGGGGGCCCGCACAAGCGGAGGAGCAUGUGGUUUAAUUCGAUGAUACGCGAGGAACCUUACCUGGGCUAGAAUGCCCUUGAUGGGUGCAGAGAUGCACUGUUCCGCUAGGACAAGGAGCAAGGUGCUGCAUGGCUGUCGUCAGCUCGUGCCGUGAGGUGUUGGGUUAAGUCCCGCAACGAGCGCAACCCUUAUUCUUAGUUGCCAACACGAAAGGUGGGGACUCUAAGAAGACUGCCUGCGCAAGCAGAGAGGAAGGAGGGGAUGACGUCAAGUCAUCAUGGCCCUUACGCCCAGGGCUACACACGUGCUACAAUGGCGUAUACAGAGUGUUGCAAGCUGGUGACAGUGAGUUUUUCCCAAAAAGUAGUUGUCAGUUCGGAUUCCAGGAAGCAACUCGCGGGCAUGAAGGAGGAAUUGCUAGUAAUUGGGCAUCAGCAAUGGCGCGGUGAAUACGUUCCCGGGCCUUGUACACACCGCCAUCCAUAUGA